GAAAGCAAGGGUGAUACAUCAAUUGUAGUUGAGCGAAAGAUGGUAGCAAGUGUUAUGGGAAUUCAAGAUGUUUGAUGAACGCAAGUGAAAAAGAUGUGAUAUCAUUCUUUUCAGGUUUGAGGUGUGAUAACAGGAGAGGUUUGAUUAUUUCAGACCGGUUUUGGGAGGUUAUGGCCUUCAAUAAAUGUGUGGUGUUUUGAGAGGGAAAAUCAAUGGUUAAGCAUUAGAAGUGGAUCAAGUUAUAAAUGAGAAGAUGAAGGGCCAUAAAAGUCAGAAGAUUUUACCAAGGAUAAGUGGAGAAGAGAAGAUAGAUCUUUAUGGUGUAAGGGUUUUAGUUUGUGUUCUGCAACAAGUAUGAGAUUUUAUGCCUUGGAGAAGUGGUGCCCACUUUGGAUUGAUGCCUAAGAAGAACCGGUGUUAGUAAUAUCUUUAAGUAUGGUUCCUGUUGAAGUUGCGUAGUACCAGAGAAAGAUGGAAGCUUGAUUAGAGCAGUAAUGUUUUGAAUUCAGUGCAAUUAUAGGGGAAACCUACAAGUUUGAUGAAUCUCAGGAGAAAGGUGGAGAAACAAUGGAAACGAGUUCGUAUGAGUUUUUAGUAGACCAAUUUGACUUUUGGGAGUACGAUUUUGUAGAAUAGAAAUAGGGUUGAAGAAAUAAAAGAACAAGAUUAUCGUGGACGAGAAGAAUUCUAAAGGUUUUGCAAGAUCAUAGUAGUUUGAAGAAGGUUCUGGAGAAUGAUCAUUUUCGGAUUGCCGAUUUGUAUGAAGAGAGUAUGAGGUAAAAAGAGAAGUAAGGAAGUAUGAAAUUAGAGUAACGCAACGAAUGUUAGUGGGCAAGUUCUUAUCAGUAAGCGGCAUGCACUAAGCACUUUCUAAGACUCGGGUCAGUGGUUUGUGACGAUUGAACUUCUUUAACAAGGUAAGGAUCUCAUGGUAUAUUUUGAGUUGAGAGCAUGUGUGGUGAUCUUUAAAAGAGUCAGGGAAAAUAAAGAUAGUCUGCGGUCUCAAUCUGAAGUAUCAACUUUAAAAUAUUAAAGUGUUAUAGGACGUUGAACUAGGAAAGUGGGUUAAUGUGAUGAAGAAGAGAAAUGGAGUUUUGGUUUCAAGUUAUAGCGUCAGUCUUGAGGUGAAUAAGCAUUAAUAGUGGUUGGAACAAAAAGAAGGUUCAGGUUGUCAGUUUGGUAAGGGCAGAGAAAUCAGAGUUAACUGAAAAAGUGUGAAGGCUAGUUGUCUAAAGGGAAUAUGGUGAAGAGAAUUCAUUAUUAUAGUUGAAGUACUAUAACUGGUGAGUUUCCUGAGAGGAUUUAGCUAGGACGGUUGGAUAAAUCCUGGUUUGAGAGGUAUCUUAAGGUGGACUAGUAUUAAUCAAACUAGUGAUUUCAAGUCGAGAAAGAUAUAGAUCCCAGUAUGGGUCGGGUUAGCAAGUUAAAGAACUAAAUAUGGAGUGCUCAUAUCUGUUUUGUCAAGGUAAUGAAUAAGAAGUUCUGGUGUGGUAAUAGGAUAGCCUAGUUGGAAACUAUGCUACUCAAGAGCAAAGAUCAGUGAAGCAAUGUGAUGUCAUCAAAAUGGUGGGGUUUAAGGGCAAAUCAAGAGUGCUAAAGUUGGUAGAAAAAUCAGAAGUUGUGUUGAUCAAGUAAGAGUACGGUGGUUCUUGGAAAAAACAAGAGGAGGUAAAAUAGUAUCAGUUGAGGGUUAAUCUAGAGUGAACACUAGUAGAAGUUUUAGAAGAGAUUUACAAGAAGGAAAGAAAGUUAGACGAGGGGUUGGUGGAAUGACAGACCCAAUGGGAUUAGUUACAUAAAAGAAAGGUUCUUAGAAUCUGAGGCAUAUAGGUUUAUAUUUGUCUAGAGGCAAAUGGCUAAACCAAUCUACACUAUUGAAUACUAUAGCAUUUUAACACAAGGCAAGGUUUUCACGAUUAGUAAAGUUGUGGGGGAGUAGUAUCUUAGUCAAAAUAGGAGAUUGUACUAGAGGAUGUGAUGAGAGUAGGUUGUUCCUUCUCUUUGGUGAGUUAAUUUUCGAGGACGAAAAUUUUGUUGUUAGGGAGAAUGUAAGGACUCAUAAAAAUGAACCAGCUUCAAUAUGGACAAGUGGCAGCGUAGGAUAGGUUGGGUAAAAUAUUAGUAAAGUAAAAAAAUAAACUUAACAUUUUAAGUUCAUUAAUUUCUGAAGAACAGCCACCCUUUCUACGUUUUUCUCCUUCUCUGCCUUACAACCUCUUCAUCUCAACUCAGAUUUUGAUCCUUGGUUUGUUGAACAGAAGCUACCUAGCUGAUCGGGGCUUCAAGGGCAACGUUUCGAACCGAUCGAUUUUUCUUUUCUGCAACUGGUAAGUUGAAGCCCUCUUUCUAUUCAUUCUAGGGCUGUAAGCAUGCAACCAAUUUGAUUGCAUGUAGCCCAUUUCUUAUUCUUUCAAUUUUAGCUGUUACGAUGCUCUAAGAUUUUUAUUAUAAGAUCAAUUGAUGAUCUAUAGGCACUGUUAGGGUUCCCUGAGAUGCGGGACAAAAUUUGGGCAUCUGUGAGCUUAACUAUUCGGAGUCAAAGGUAAGGGAAUUUGCGGAUUUUACUUCUGUUUUGGGAAUUUGGGUUUGCAUGAAUUGGGAAUUUACUUGGGAUUAUGUAUUGAUGCAUGUAUGAAGU
rnacentral:lncRNA from 1 species